AUCAAUAUAGGUAAAGUUUAACUUCGUACAAGUGCUGAGAUGCCCUGUGGACACCACCAGCCACAAGCUGAGUACAGUGAAGUGCUCUGCUUGCAGAUACGCUGUGGCAGUGACAGGUUUCAGCUGGCAGCACGCUCACUGAAUGCCCUGUGCACUUCCAUUAUCAGAAGGAGCUCUGGGAUGAAACCUAAACCAGCCAGAUUCCGACAGAGGUGCCGUACCGUUUGGAAGUGGUUCCGUAAAUGCUCCAGUCGGGUGAACCUUUUCCCACACACGUCGCAAGGAUACGGACGCUCCCCUGU